rnacentral:snoRNA from 1 species
CUGGCUGAUGAAACUAAGGCGAAUGCGAUUCCGUGCUCUCUGGGGGGUGGAGUUCUCAAAUGGGAUCUGAAAUCUUAGUGGGGUACCUGAGCUUGGCUCCUCACUGUAAAGCAGAUCAAUAGCACUGCUGGCCUUACCUCCAUUUCUGCUGCUGCCUCUAGUUCCUGGCAGCUGCCUACAGGGGGGCCCACAGGUGAGGACCAAAGUAAGACUAGGCACGAGCCACCUGAGCGCAACCUUGGAUCUGACA